AGUCCAGCCCCCCACAUGGUCUGAGGGACGGUGGACCGGCCCAUGGCUGAAAAAGGUUGCUGACCCCUGAUCUAGAAAGAGAGAGAAGACUGAUGACAUUUGGACUUAAAUGCAGCACCAGAAGUUAACAAUUGAGUCCUUGAUGCAGGAGCACAUCACUGAACGCAAUCACACUGUGAGUUUAGGAAGAUAAGAAAGCUAACGUCAUUGGAGGAAAGUUGCUAGUGCUCACCAACUAAAGGCAGAAAUACAAAGAGCCGUGUCUGCUCUUAUUAGCAGGAGAGACGCAUGAAAUAGGGAGGAAAUUACUGUAUUUUUUGCUCUAUAAGACUCACUUUUUCCCUCCUAAAAAGCAAGGGGAAAUGUGUGUGCAUCUCAUGGAGCAAAUGCAGGCUGCGCAGCUAUCCCAGAAGCCAGAACAGCAAGAGGGAUUGCUGCUUUCACUGUGCAGUGAUCCCUCUUGUUGUUCUGGCUUCUGAGAUUCAGAAUAUUUUUUUUCUUGUUUUCCUCCUCCAAAAACUAGGUGCGUCUUAUGGUCUGGUGCGUCUUAUAGAGCGAAAAAUAUGGUAGGUCCACAAUCAGUUUAAUGAUGGUCGGUACAGGUUAAAGGACAGCCUAGGAAAUUUGGGGGUUCCCCCUCUCUCUCGCCUCUUUCCCAUGCAAACCUAUCAGCCUCCAGACAAGCAGAAUUGCAUUCCCACACUUUCAGCAAAGACUGUGGAUUUCAACCACAAGAAGAGGUUUCAAUGCCAAGGCUGUGAGGAGGACACAAAGGUACUUCUUCAGAGGGGAGAAACGUGGGGAAGAGGUUCAGACCAGGACUUUUAGCCAUUUGAGUAUGUACAAUAAAAGCCCAUGCCCAGAUGAGCCUCAUUUUGUUGUUGUUGUUGUUAAGAAUCUCCCUGAAGCAAUGUUAAAACAAUAUCAAAAUUCAGAGUGGGUGCAGCUGGCCUUGCCCAGAUCUGGGACAAAGGAAAUGAAGGCUCAAGAGAAACUGAGUUACUCAAGUAAUGAAAGAAUAACAGGGGGGUGGGGGGUGGGAGCCUUACAAACAAAAGGCAGCAAAAAAUGCAGAGGGGAUGGAACAGUUGGUUGCUAAGCGAAGCAGCCAAUCAGGGAGUCUCAUUUCAAAGCCCCCUGGUGUAUGUAUGUGUGUGUGGUGGAAUUUAAGAGAGCCCCUUCCCAUUUUAGCCAAGGAGCUGUGAAGCCAGCUUGAGGACUGGGCUUUGCAAGUCAAACUGGAGGCAACAGUAGCAGUUCUGGCAAAGCCAUCCCAUGCACGCCAUCAAUGGGCCAGUCAGUCCUAAAUCCAUCUGAUAAUAAUAAUAAUAAUUUAUUAUUUAUACCCCGCCCAUCUGGCUGGGUUUCCCCAGCCACUCUGAUACAGUGCAGAGCUUUAUUAAUAAAAAUAUAUAUUUACUGAUAAAAUAAACAAAUGGAUUACUGCAUCAGUGUGGCAUAGUGGUUAGAGUGCUGGACUAGGCCCUGGGAGACCAGGGUUCAAAUCUCCUCUCAGCCAUGUAGCUCACUUUGGGAACUUGAGCCAGUCACCAUCUCUCAGCCUACCUCACAGGGUUGUUGUGAGAAUAAAAUUGGGGUUGUUGUUGUUGUUGUUGUUUUGUUGUUGUUGUUGUUGUUGUUAUUGCAGGCUAGCGAAUCUACUUUGGCCACCUCAUGAGAAGAGAAGACUCCCUGGAAAAGACCCUGAUGUUGGGAAAGAUGGAGGGCACAAGGAGAAGGGGACGACAGAGGACGAGAUGGUUGGACAGUGUUCUUGAAGCUACCAGCAUGAGUUUGACCAAACUGCGGGAGGCAGUGGAAGACAGGAGUGCCUGGCAUGCUCUGGUCCAUGGGGUCACGAAGAGUCGGACACGACUAAACAACUAAACAACAACAGCGAAUUUACUGAAUCAGAUGAUUCAGAUAUACAGGAUACACGCGUGGCUGGGCGAAUUAUAAACGUUGGGUCAGAGGUAAAAGAAAUUAAGGAAGUGCCCAUUAAUAGCAUUGAAGGCAAUUAAUAGCAUUGAAGGCAAUUAAUAGCACCCAUUCCGCAAGGUUCAGAGGUUUUUGCUGCAAAAGACCUGCCACAGCUGGUCUGCCACGCAAGUCCACGCGGCAGCGAGUCCACUUCAAACACGGAUUCCGACUAAACAUCAGGAAGAGCACAGUGAAAAAGAUUUCCCGGGAGGGCGAUAGCCUCUCCUUCCUCUGAGGUUUUCAAGCAGAGGUUGGGUGGCCACGUGUCGUGCGCGAUCUCGUUGAGAUUCCUGCAUUGCAGGGGGUCGGUCUAGAUGACUCUCGGACCCCUGCACAGUUCUCUGCUUCUGCGGUGCGCACUCCUUCGCAGUGAACGCGCUUCGGGCACGCGCCCCUACUCCAAUGCGGGGAAAGAGGCCAUGCGGACGCAGCAGCUCCGCCCACCCCCCGCCCCCCACCUCGAUUCCGGGAUCUGGCAGCCAAUGAGAGCGGAGUAGAUUCAAUUUGGGCAUGCUAAGAGAAUCCCCAGCAUGCUUUGCAGCCCCAGCCGUGGAGGCGGAGCAGGAGGCUGCACUUUCGGCGCUUCGAUCUCCGGCGGGCUUGGCCAGGUGUGUAUUUUAGCAAAGGAGGGAAUCCAUUACCAUCCUUGCGCGGGACACUUGCCACGGAUCGGGUGAUGCGCCGGGCGGGCGGGCGCGCAGUUGGGGAUGGUGGGGGCCUGGGGCGCCUCCUAGGAAUCUUGUUAGGCUAACUUUAAGCCCCCUUAAUUCAGCGCAUCGGGCAGGUAAGGUUCCCACCACCGGGAUGGAUCUGCGAGGUUGCUGCGUAAGCCCCAAAUGCGCAAGGCGCAGCUGGUUUUCCCUGUUGGGAUCUCGCCACCUCUUACUGUUUAGCAGCGCUCCUGCUCCUUUAGCAGUUAUACGGAGAGAGAGAGAGAAAUGCCGUGUCAGUAGAUGGAGGGAUCGGAAAAUUUCACGAGGACUCGCUGCUUGGCUCUUUUUUAAACGCGCGCCUCCAGGGCUGGUUUGGGCCCACGAGCGCCACGGCGCAGACCUGCCUAGGUAACUUGAGCCUUGCGGAUGUGCGCUUGCCUCUUCCGCCCUGCCUAGCCCAGUGGGGAGAGCACGUGCUUUUUUUGAAGCACGCGAAAGGUCCCAGGUAAGAGCAGCGCUCCAGGUAAGGGCUAGGAAAGAUACCUGUUCUGCAACCUUGGAGAGUUUCAGACAGUUAAAGGUAACAUCAGCGUUCCCCAACAUGGUGUCGGGCUGGGAGGAGAGAUGAUAGCCAAUCUUCAAAUACCCAAAGGGCUGCCACAUGGAAAAUGGAGGAAGAUUAUUUUCUCCUGCUCUGGAAGGUAGGACCCAAACCAGUGGAUUCAAAUGACUUGACAGUAAGAGCUGUAUCUCUCUUUAGGGACGCUUUUAAUAUUUAACAGACUACUGCAUUUCAAUAUUUUGCUGGAAGCCGCCCAGAGUGGCUGGGGAAACCCAGCCAGAUGGGUGGCGUAUAAAUAAAUUAUUAUUAUUAUUAUUAUUAUUAUUAUUAUUGACAGUGGAACAGACUCCCUCAGGAGGUGGUGGGCUCUCCUCCCUUCCAAGUUUAUGAUGCUGUGAUCUCCCAUCCAGCUAGCAGAACCAAUGGUUGAGGGUUAUGGGAGUUGCAAACAGCAUCUGGGAGGCACCAGGUUGGGAAAAGCUGGUGUAGACCACUUCGUGUGGCUCAAAAGAGCUUUGGCCUUCUUGACAUUCCAAGUUGCCUCAUUUUCUGGAAAGGUAAUUUUGUGGCGUGAAGGUUUAUCUGCUGGCUUAUCAUAUUCGAGGGCUGGGUAGGUGCCACCACACUAAAGGCCUUGUUCCUAUAUCGCAUGGAAUGGACUUCCUGAUAAGAGGGGGCUGGUCUGCUGUCCCUCAGACCUUGUGGGGGGCUGGACUAUAUUGGGGGGAGGGGAUGAACAAAUUCCUAUACCCCACAAAUAACCCAGAGAUGCAUUUUAAAUAAAAGGAAACAUUCCACUCAUGUAAAAAUCCGCGGGCCGGAUUUAGAAGGCGAUUGGAUGACAUCAGAUGUGGGGCAAGUGGGUGUGGCUUUUGGGCAGAAAUCUCAUGGGCCAGAGGUUCCCUACUGCUGACUUAAAGCUUGGUUGGACAUCCCCUCACAUUGCUCCUGGAGGAUGUGCUGAUUUUCUGCGGCUGGCCUCUCUCUCUACCCAGUUAUUUAGGGUGUUUAGGAACAUGAUGUGAAGUCACAGCAGUUCAGCCAGCUCUGGGGAGAGGGUGGGUACCUCCCGAGAGGGGACAACUACAUUUUCAGCUUCCUGAUGACUUGAGAAAUUUGUGUGUGUGAACCCUCCCACAAAGGCGUGCCUGUACUCUCCCAUGUGUUGGCACGUAAGAACUGGAGGCAGAUUAAUUGGGAUGGAGGCUAUUUUGUACAGGGCUGGCUACCACUCUGGGCUGUUCCUGGAUCCUCUGUUCCUACAGUUUUCUGUGCUGGAUGCCAAAUAUUUGAAUUCUGUCGUGCAUUUUGUUUCGGUCGUUUAAAGCAAUGUUUCCCAACUGUGGGUCUCCAGUUGUUUUUGGACUACAACUCCCAUCAUCCCUAGCUAGCAAGACCAGUGGUCAGGAAUGAUGGGAGUUGUAGUCUCAAAACAGCUGGAGAACCAAGGUUGGUUUAAGGCAGGCAUCCCCAAACUCGGCCCUCCAGAUGUUUUUGGGACUACAAUUCACCACUGGUCCUGUUGGCUAGGGAUCAUGGGAGUUGUAGUCCAAAAACAGCUGGAGGUCUGAGUUUGGGGAUGCCUGGUUUAAGGUGUUCCUAGCCUGCCUUUUGACUUUUUUUUUAAAAAAAGAAAAGAGGCUUUUAUGUUGGGACUGGCUGCCAUGAUAUGCGGUCUCUCUCCAUUUACAGAAUUUUAUUUUCCCGGGAUUUUUACCUUCUGCACCCUGCAUCCCUCACAUUUGUUGGAGAAGAUUGCUCUCUGUUGUUUUCUAUAUUGAAUUGGUUGGUUUUAUAUAUAUUUUUUUAAAUCCUUCAGGAGGAAGGGCAGGAUAUUAAAUAAACAAAGGUUCUUGUUUGUACUGCUAUGGAACUUGUAGCAAAACAGGACGGUGAGGGUUAUAGUAAAAAUGAAAUGUGCUCUCUACCUGGCCCUUGGAGCUUCCCCCAGGCCACUCUUCUCACUUGCCUUGCCCUAUAACCAGAGUGUUUGCCUAGCUGGAAUAUGUCCUUGCACUCUGCAACUGCCUCUUUCUCCUCUGCAUGGAGGAUAGAGGUUGUGUGUGUAUAUAAAUGAGCUUAAGGUACAAAGGUAAUAUUUACACUGGUUGCUGCACAUGCUUUUGCCUCUGCCUCCCCCACUACUCAGGUGAAGCAGAAGGGAAUGUGGCGCUCAGGCUAAGAAAUGUUCAUCACACCUGGAGAUAGGGGUAGCUCUCCUGUUUGCAAGAGUUUGGUGUGCAUGUAGUUCUUUUAUUUCCUAUAUAACGAAUGAAUGACACUUGUCCCCUGCUUUGUCCAUAGGUGCUGGUGGUGUCAGCAGACCGGGAACUGGCAAAAAUGACGUGUUGCAAGUAAUUUCAAGUUGGAGGAAUGCAAAUCCCAGAAAAUGUGCAGAAUCGGACAUGUUCCAUCUGCGCUGCUGUCUUGCAAGAUCCGCUUGCAACAACCACCAUCCCACACUAUGGAGUUUGCACUCAUACAUUAGCAUUACCUUCCACAGGGUAGAUUUCAUUUAAAUCAAAUCUAUUUAAAUGAUUAAUCAUGAUUUAAAUCACUAGACAGUAAGACUUGACUUAAAUCUUUUCUUUUCUUUUUAACAGAAAGUCCCGUUCUUGCUGGUAUAAUCCCAAUAUUUACAACCAGAUGAAGGUUUCAUUUUUGGAAUAAAAAAUUUUCAGAGUAGUUUUUUAAAGUUAUAUAAAAAAUUGCUGAUUUGGUUAUACUAUUAUAAAUGCAUAGAUAGAUAACUUAUUAAACCCCACAAUAAUUUCAUAAUUAACUGUUUAUAUUUGGACAACUUUUCUGCUGUACUUUAUUGGAAGGAGAAAAAUCAUUUCCUUAAUAACAAUUUACUUAACUAAAACAAUAACAUAGCAUAUGUAUCCAUGUUUCUUAACUGAUGCAAUUAAACAAUUAAAAACCAACAACAACAUAGAGUUUUAGCACACAUGAAAAACACAUGAAUAGCCUUCGGACUAUAAUGUAACUUAUACAGAAAAAUAUAUUUAGAAAGCUUUUUUCCUCCAAAGGCAUAUUAUUUUAAAAAUCUAAUUUAAAUUUUAAAAAUUAUUUUUUAUCCACCCUGCCUUCCCAAUUAAAAGUGUAUUUUUGAACGUGUUUUUCUCUCAACAUAAGCACAUUUCUCAACAUAUUUUCUCCAGAUAUGCAAUCUGAUAACAUUUCUUUCAGUUGAGAACGGCAUCAAAAUCCAGUGGAUAGCUAAAGUCCAAUCCGGUCAUGAGUCAAGGAGGUGUGAAACAGGUCAGUGCAUAUCAGAAUCCCUCCUCUGCUGCAUCAUUUGGGGGAAGACUUCUGGAAAGCUGUAUUAGCUGCAUUCAUCUAUGUACCUUUGCAAACAAUCCUCAAUAAAGCUGCAUUGUUCAUCUAGCAA
rnacentral:lncRNA from 1 species